rnacentral:rRNA from 1 species
CAUCCACGGAAGAAUUCAGAGAUGGAUUUGUGCCUUCGGGAACCGUGAGACAGGUGCUGCAUGGCUGUCGUCAGCUCGUGUUGUGAAAUGUUGGGUUAAGUCCCGCAACGAGCGCAACCCUUAUCCUUUGUUGCCAGCGGUCCGGCCGGGAACUCAAAGGAGACUGCCAGUGAUAAACUGGAGGAAGGUGGGGAUGACGUCAAGUCAUCAUGGCCCUUACGACCAGGGCUACACACGUGCUACAAUGGCGCAUACAAAGAGAAGCGACCUCGCGAGAGCAAGCGGACCUCAUAAAGUGCGUCGUAGUCCGGAUUGGAGUCUGCAACUCGACUCCAUGAAGUCGGAAUCGCUAGUAAUCGUGGAUCAGAAUGCCACGGUGAAUACGUUCCCGGGCCUUGUACACACCGCCCGUCACACCAUGGGAGUGGGUUGCAAAAGAAGUAGGUAGCUUAACCUUCGGGAGGGCGCUUACCACUUUGUGAUUCAUGACUGGGGUGAAGUCGUAACAAGGUAACCGUAGGGGAACCUGC